rnacentral:rRNA from 1 species
GUGCCAGCAGCCGCGGUAACACGGGGGGAGCAAGCGUUGUUCGGAAUCACUGGGCGUAAAGGGCGUGUAGGCGGUCAAGUAAGUGGAAUGUGAAAUCCCCCGGCUUACCCGGGGACCUGCAUCCCAAACUGCUUGGCUUGAGUACGGGAGAGGAUGAGGGAAUUCCUGGUGUAGCGGUGAAAUGCGUAGAUAUCAGGAGGAACACCGGUGGCGAAGGCGGGUCUCUGGGCCGAUACUGACGCUGAGGCGCGAAAGCUAGGGGAGCGAACAGGAUUAGAUACCCUGGUAGUCCUAGCCGUAAACGUUGGGUGCUAGGUGUGGGUGGACAUCGACCCCAUCCGUGCCGAAGCUAACGCAUUAAGCACCCCGCCUGGGGAGUACGGCCGCAAGGCUAAAACUUAAAGGAAUUGACGG